GGGCGUUUAGCUCAGUUGGUAGAGCGCUACCCUUACAAGGUAGAUGUCGGGGGUUCGAGCCCCUCAACGCCCACCA
rnacentral:tRNA from 1 species